rnacentral:rRNA from 1 species
GCCUACGGGGCGCAGCAGUAGGGAAUAUUGCUCAAUGGGGGAAACCCUGAAGCAGCAACGCCGCGUGGAGGAUGAAGGUUUUCGGAUUGUAAACUCCUUUUGUUAGAGAAGAUAAUGACGGUAUCUAACGAAUAAGCACCGGCUAACUCCGUGCCAGCAGCCGCGGUGACACGGAGGGUGCAAGCGUUACUCGGAAUCACUGGGCGUAAAGAGCGCGUAGGCGGGAUAGCAAGUCAGAUGUGAAAUCCUAUGGCUUAACCAUAGAACUGCAUUUGAAACUGUUAUUCUAGAGUAUGGGAGAGGUA